rnacentral:misc_RNA from 1 species
AACCUUAUGGACCUGCGGGCGUAUACCUGCGGAGGGAUCAUUAACGCGCCGUGGAGGUCACCUUUAAACAGGUCUGACCUUCCACCUGGCCACCCUUGUUUAUCUUUAACCUGUUGCUUUGGUGAGCCCGCUGCAAGGCCGCUGGAGAAUUUAAAAGUUUUCUGGCCUGUGCCCACCAAAGUCCUAGUGAACUCUUUGUUAAUUUUCUGCUGUCUGAGCAUUAAAAAGCAAAUUUUUAAA